rnacentral:rRNA from 1 species
ACGAACGCUGGCGGCGUGCCUAAUACAUGCAAGUUGCGCGAUGAAGAUUGGUGCUUGCACCAAUUUGAAGAGCAGCGAACGGGUGAGUAACGCGUGGGGAAUCUGCCUUUGAGCGGGGGACAACAUUUGGAAACGAAUGCUAAUACCGCAUAACAACUUUAAACAUAAGUUUUAAGUUUGAAAGAUGCAAUUGCAUCACUCAAAGAUGAUCCCGCGUUGUAUUAGCUAGUUGGUGAGGUAAAGGCUCACCAAGGCGAUGAUACAUAGCCGACCUGAGAGGGUGAUCGGCCACAUUGGGACUGAGACACGGCCCAAACUCCUACGGGAGGCAGCAGUAGGGAAUCUUCGGCAAUGGACGAAAGUCUGACCGAGCAACGCCGCGUGAGUGAAGAAGGUUUUCGGAUCGUAAAACUCUGUUGGUAGAGAAGAACGUUGGUGAGAGUGGAAAGCUCAUCAAGUGACGGUAACUACCCAGAAAGGGACGGCUAACUACGUG